GUCGGGAUGGCGGAACAGGCAGACGCGUACGUUUGAGGGGCGUAUGGGUAAUCCCGUGCGGGUUCGAUUCCCGCUCCCGACACCA
rnacentral:tRNA from 1 species